rnacentral:misc_RNA from 1 species
UUUCCGUAGGUGAACCUGCGGAAGGAUCAUUCAUAAUAAGUGUUUUAUGGCACUUCUUUAAAUCCAUAUCCACCUUGUGUGCAAUGUCAGGGUUGAUUUUUCUCUCGAGAGGAUCAACCCCAAACGUCAACUAUAUCUCAACUCUUUGUCUGAAAAAUAUUAUGAAUAAAACAAUUCAAAAUACAACUUUCAACAACGGAUCUCUUGGCUCUC